GAUGAAGAACGUAGCGAAAUGCGAUAAGUAAUGUGAAUUGCAGAAUUUAGUGAAUCAUCGAAUCUUUGAACGCACAUUGCACCCCUUGGUAAUCCUUGGGGUAUACCUGUUCGAGCGCCGUUUGUGUCUAAGGCUUCAGCCUUGCGUUGACGUUGCCCCGAGAGGGGCUCGUCCAAAGACAUUGGCGCCUGUACUGGCCCGAAACGCAACGAAAUGCGAAAAGGGAUCAGAGCGCGGGCAGCCAGUUUUUAAAUCAAAGCAUGGCCUCGGAUCAGGUAGGGAUACCCGCUGAACUUAAGCAUAUCAAUAAGCGGAGGA
rnacentral:misc_RNA from 1 species